UGGCGAACUGGUGAGUAACACGUGGGAAACCUGCCCACAAGCGGGGGAUAACACCUGGAAACAGAUGCUAAUACCGCAUAACAACUUGGACCGCAUGGUCCGAGUUUGAAAGAUGGCUUCGGCUAUCACUUUUGGAUGGUCCCGCGGCGUAUUAGCUAGAUGGUGAGGUAACGGCUCACCAUGGCAAUGAUACGUAGCCGACCUGAGAGGGUAAUCGGCCACAUUGGGACUGAGACACGGCCCAAACUCCUACGGGAGGCAGCAGUAGGGAAUCUUCCACAAUGGACGAAAGUCUGAUGGAGCAACGCCGCGUGAGUGAAGAAGGGUUUCGGCUCGUAAAACUCUGUUGUUAAAGAAGAACAUAUCUGAGAGUAACUGUUCAGGUAUUGACGGUAUUUAACCAGAAAGCCACGGCUAACUACGUGCCAGCAGCCGCGGUAAUACGUAGGUGGCAAGCGUUGUCCGGAUUUAUUGGGCGUAAAGCGAGCGCAGGCGGUUUUUUAAGUCUGAUGUGAAAGCCUUCGGCUCAACCGAAGAAGUGCAUCGGAAACUGGGAAACUUGAGUGCAGAAGAGGACAGUGGAACUCCAUGUGUAGCGGUGAAAUGCGUAGAUAUAUGGAAGAACACCAGUGGCGAAGGCGGCUGUCUGGUCUGUAACUGACGCUGAGGCUCGAAAGUAUGGGUAGCAAACAGGAUUAGAUACCCUGGUAGUCCAUACCGUAAACGAUGAAUGCUAAGUGUUGGAGGGUUUCCGCCCUUCAGUGCUGCAGCUAACGCAUUAAGCAUUCCGCCUGGGGAGUACGGCCGCAAGGCUGAAACUCAAAGGAAUUGACGGGGGCCCGCACAAGCGGUGGAGCAUGUGGUUUAAUUCGAAGCUACGCGAAGAACCUUACCAGGUCUUGACAUACUAUGCAAAUCUAAGAGAUUAGACGUUCCCUUCGGGGACAUGGAUACAGGUGGUGCAUGGUUGUCGUCAGCUCGUGUCGUGAGAUGUUGGGUUAAGUCCCGCAACGAGCGCAACCCUUAUUAUCAGUUGCCAGCAUUAAGUUGGGCACUCUGGUGAGACUGCCGGUGACAAACCGGAGGAAGGUGGGGAUGACGUCAAAUCAUCAUGCCCCUUAUGACCUGGGCUACACACGUGCUACAAUGGAUGGUACAACGAGUUGCGAACUCGCGAGAGUAAGCUAAUCUCUUAAAGCCAUUCUCAGUUCGGAUUGUAGGCUGCAACUCGCCUACAUGAAGUCGGAAUCGCUAGUAAUCGCGGAUCAGCAUGCCGCGGUGAAUACGUUCCCGGGCCUUGUACACACCGCC
rnacentral:rRNA from 2 species